AGAGUAGACAAGCAGAAUGAUCUGAUAUAAGCCAUUGUUGAAUACUGCUUGCUCAGAUCAAUGGCAGCUGCAGAAAACCAGUGACAUCACCACAAAAAUGGCAUUGGGUUCAGACAUCCAACUGAAAUAUGAUUGAACUACCUAAGAUCGAACUCUCAACCUUCCAAGUGGGACAUGAGCACCUUCACCACUCUACCACCGUGCCACUCACUCUGUAUACAAAAUCAUAAUGGUUAUAUCUAAAGCCUGGUUAGGGCAGAAAUUGGUCCUUGCAUUGCAACAAAUCCUGGAUCUGUGCUGGAAUCUUCUGCGAGAAUUGCUGAUGGCAAGCACCAGAGGGACUGAGCAAGUCUGUGUAAAAGCUAUUUCAAGUGUCCAGCAUGUUGUACUGAAAUAUAUACAUAUUAAUUGAUUCAUGUUUACCCUUCCUCAAGAGCUUAAGGAGACUUGUUCCUCUGAUUUUUUUUAAAUUAUUUUUUGCAUUUCUCCUUGGUGUCCUUUCUAACAGGUGUGCAAAGCAUGGCACAAUUAUUCAGUUAUUCAAGGUCCCUAUUUUAAUGAAUUUCUUUAUCAAUGCUUGCAGAGAUUUUGUUCUUUGUAUGUGAUGUGGCCUUAUUCUCUAAACCACAUUGUUACUUCAUGAAGGAUCCAAUCUUCACCCAACCAUUGAUCUUACAUAGAUGAAGGAAGGCCACUGGGUUAUUUUUCUUUCCAGGGACCAUUCUCAUUGAGCAAUGUCUGAUUUUAGUUUGUCCUUCAGCAGCUUCAACUACAAAAAAUAAAAUAUUAAGUU